AGUUGUCAAGGAACUAUUUUUCUUGCCGUCGUCCCAGAGAUGCCUUUGGAAAAGCGGAAGGGCACGGAGGGUUCUGGAGUUCGUUGCUGGCACCUGCGUGGUGUCAUGAGAACGUGGCGGGGCGGUGAGUGACGUGAGGGGGCGUGACGGCCAGGCCGGGAGUAGUUGCCCGCGCGGGAGAACAGGGGCUGCGCAGGGAAAGCGGCUUUGAAAAAGAGCUUCUUGGCGUCGGGCGGACGCCCAACACAUGCUUGUCGGCCAAGUACAGGAUAAGGUUAAAGGGAACUAACCAAUAUUCAGCACUAACUGUGAUAAGCGCCUAAUAUACAUCCCUGCCUGUCAUUAUUCACAUUGUGGCAUGCAGUCAAAGCGACACUCUGAGGAAAAUGUAUCGCCUUAAAUACAUUGAUUAGAAAAUAAGAAAGCCCGAACAUGAUUAGGCCGGGCGCGGUGGCUCACGGCCGAAAUCCCAGCACCUUGGGAGGCCGAGGCAGGCGGAUCGCUUGAGUCCAGGAGUUCAAGACCAGCCUGGGCAAAAAAGCGAGACCCUUCCUCUACAAAAAAAUACAAAAAUCAGCCGGGCGUGGUGGCGCGCGCCUGUAAUCCCAGCUACUUGGGGGGCUGAGGUGGGAUGAUCCCUUGAGCCCGGGAGGAGGAGACUGCAGUGAGCCG
rnacentral:lncRNA from 1 species